GCUCCCAUAGUUUAAUGGAUAGAACGCGGGCCUCCGAAGCUCGCGAUGCAGGUUCGAUUCCUGCUGGGAGCA
rnacentral:tRNA from 1 species